UACGGGGGGGGGCAAGCGUUGUUCGGAAUUACUGGGCGUAAAGGGUUCGUAGGUGGCUCGCUAAGUCAGACGUGAAAUCCCUCAGCUUAACUGGGGAACUGCGUCUGAUACUGGAUGGCUUGGAUUCGGGAGAGGAAUGCGGAAUUCCAGGUGUAGCGGUGAAAUGCGUAGAUAUCUGGAGGAACACCGGUGGCGAAGGCGGCAUUCUGGACCGAUAUUGACGCUGAGGAGCGAAAACCAGGGGAGCAAACGGG
rnacentral:rRNA from 1 species